rnacentral:rRNA from 1 species
GCCCCGCAAGGGGAGUGGCAGACGGGUGAGUAACGCGUGGGAACAUACCCUUUCCUGCGGAAUAGCUCCGGGAAACUGGAAUUAAUACCGCAUACGCCCUACGGGGGAAAGAUUUAUCGGGGAAGGAUUGGCCCGCGUUGGAUUAGCUAGUUGGUGGGGUAAAGGCCUACCAAGGCGACGAUCCAUAGCUGGUCUGAGAGGAUGAUCAGC